rnacentral:lncRNA from 8 species
UCUCUCUCUCUCUCUCUCUCUCUCUCUUCUUCAGUCGUAUCUCUUUACCCUCUCUCUCUCUCUCUCUCUCUCUCUCUCUUCUUCAGUCGUAUCUCUUUACCCUCCCUCUCUCUCUUCUUCAGUCGUAUCUCUUUACCUUCUCUCUCUCUUCUCCAGUCGUAUCUCUUUACCCUCUCUCUCUCUCUUCUUCAGUCGUAUCUCUUUACUCUCUCUCUCUCUUCUCCAGUCGUAUCUCUUUACCCUCCCUCUCUCUUCUCCAGUCGUAUCUCUUUACCCUCCCUCUCUUCUCCAGUCGUAUCUCUUUACCCUCUCUCUCUCUCUCUCUCUUCUCCAGUCGUAUCUCUUUACCUUCUCUCUCUUCUUCAGUCGUAUCUCUUUACUCUCUCUCUCUCUUCUUCAGUCGUAUCUCUUUACCCUCCCUCUCUUCUCCAGUCGUAUCUCUUUACCCUCCCUCUCUUCGCCAGUCGUAUCUCUUUACUCUCUCUCUCUUCACCAGUCGUAUCUCUUUACUCUCUCUCUCUCUUCUCCAGUCGUAUCUCUUUACCUUCUCUCUCUCUUCUCCAGUCGUAUCUCUUUACCCUCUCUCUCUCUCUCUCUUCUCUAGUCGUAUCUCUUUACCCUCUCUCUCUCUCUCUCUCUCUUCUCCAGUCGUAUCUCUUUACCCUCUCUCUCUCUCUCUCUUCUCUAGUCGUAUCUCUUUACCCUCUCUCUCUCUCUCUCUCUCUCUCUCUCUCUCUUCUUCAGUCGUAUCUCUUUACCCUCUCUCUCUCUCUCUCUCUCUCUCUCUCUUCUUCAGUCGUAUCUCUUUACCCUCUCUCUCUCUCCUCCAGUCGUAUCUCUUUACCCUCUUUCUCUCUUCUCCAGUCGUAUCUCUUUACUCUCUCUCUCUUCUCCAGUCGUAUCUCUUUACCUUCUCUCUCUCUUCUCCAGUCGUAUCUCUUUACUCUCUCUCUCUUCGCCAGUCGUAUCUCUUUACCUUCUCUCUCUCUUCUCCAGUCGUAUCUCUUUACCCUCUCUCUCUCUUCUCCAGUCGUAUCUCUUUACCCUCUCUCUCUCUUCUCCAGUCGUAUCUCUUUACCCUCUCUCUCUCUUCUCCAGUCGUAUCUCUUUACCCUCUCUCUCUCUUCUCCAGUCGUAUCUCUUUACCCUCUCUCUCUCUUCUCCAGUCGUAUCUCUUUACCCUCUCUCUCUCUUCUCCAGUCGUAUCUCUUUACCCUCUCUCUCUCUUCUCCAGUCGUAUCUCUUUACCCUCUCUCUCUCUCUUCUUCAGUCGUAUCUCUUUACCCUCUCCCUCUCUUCUUCAGUCGUAUCUCUUUACCCUCUCCCUCUCUUCUUCAGUCGUAUCUCUUUACUCUCUCUCUCUCUUCUCCAGUCGUAUCUCUUUACCCUCUCUCUCUUCUCCAGUCGUAUCUCUUUACUCUCUCUCUCUUCUUCAGUCGUAUCUCUUUACCCUCUCUCUCCUACUCUCUAUUUCUCUCUUCUGUCUGUGUAGGCUACCUGAAGACUAGGGGGCUGAAUAUAGGUCAACACAACCUUACCAGGCAGAAUAAGAGCAUAACAGAAGUGUGUGUGAGUGAAGAGGAGCAGUGA